UUUUUGUCGUCCUCUGAUUGGUGGAUCUGAAUCUGCGCGAGUGUUUUCUGUGAUCAAUGUCUGACAUAUUUCGAAAUUCCUUUUCCAGGCGCGCUUUUCGAAGGAGAACUCGACUUUGUGUGGCGAGGUGGAACAAAAAUAGCUGCCGUCUGGCCUGUUUCAACUAAUAAUUGUUAUUUUAUUUUAUAUUUGAGGAGGGGCAUACUUUCAGAGUAGCAUGUACGAGCACGACAGCUAGCUUACACAAAUGCUAUUGUUAGCAUCUCCGGUUUGGAGUCGUUUGAAGGUGACGUAAGAUAAAGCAAACAUCCCCUUCGCGGUACUUCACUAAUGAGGUCUCGCAAGGCCCAGCCUCGGCGUCACCUCCACUUAGCGGGCCCGACGUGGCUGUCGGCCGGCGCGACGCGGCAGUGGCGGUCGCCGACGCGUCCGUCAGAGCGAUCAACGGCGAGCCGGUACGCCGCCGGUGUCCAUGUUUUGAUUCAUGACACGAACAAGCGCGGAGUAGGGGAUCAGGUUCCAUCACGGAAACUGUGCUGACCAGAGGGGUGCGGACAACCGUAACGCCGCGCAAAGAUGUUUGCUCAGAGUCCAACCUCAGAAUCCUGAUGAAAACCCAAUUUUCCCACUGGACUUGGCCACCGGCGACCACGAACAAGUGAUCAGAACAACACUUUGAGCUGACAAAGUCCCUCGUGCAGCCACUGUCGUGAUGGCUCCCGUCCGCCGGGGCCCAAUUGAGAAAAAGAACCAAAACACUUAGAGAGCACUUGAGAGCGACAAGAAGAACGCGAGACACUUUUGCGAGCUCCACGUGGGGUUCGUCCACAGGAGACGGAGGAUUAUUAUAUGGAGAGAGAAAUGGAAAAACAUGCGGCGUUGCCAGCAUAUGAUCAACGCUAUGGACAGUUUGGAGUCUUCGAUGAACAUCAUCUGCGUGUUUUGGCAAUCAAACGCAAGCACAGGAAGCAUGAAGCUAAGAUUCAAACCAUGAACAUCUGAAGUGUGAGGCAGACUUGAACACCACCUGAUCACCGUGCUGACAGAUUCAGAUGACAAAUGCGUUACUGGUCAUCUUCUCUGUAUGGUGUGCAACACAAAUGUAAAGCAGAGUGUAAAUUGAUUUUUUUUUUCCUUUGAGAAAUUGUAAUAGAUGAGCUAUAACAAAUAAACUAAAUAAAUCCAA